UACGUAGGGUGCGAGCGUUAAUCGGAAUUACUGGGCGUAAAGGGUGCGCAGGCGGCGUCGCAAGUCAGGCGUGAAAUCCCCGGGCUUAACCUGGGAACUGCACUUGAAACUACGAUGCUGGAGUAUGGCAGAGGGAGGUGGAAUUCCACGUGUAGCGGUGAAAUGCGUAGAGAUCGGCAGGAACACCCAGGGGGAAACCAGUCGACUGGGCAGCACCUGACGCUGAGGUGCGAGAGCGUGGGGAGCGAACCGG
rnacentral:rRNA from 1 species